AUUCAAUGGUGAUGUCAUUUUCUUAACAACUCCUUAAACCUCUCCCACACAUCAUAGAACGGCUCACCUUCUCUUUGGUGAAAAUUGUUGAUUUCACCUCUAUACC